rnacentral:misc_RNA from 1 species
GCAAACUUGGUCAUUUAGAGGAAGUAAAAGUCGUAACAAGGUUUCCGUAGGUGAACCUGCGGAAGGAUCAUUAAUGAAUAAACUUGGUUGAGUUGUUGCUGGUUCCUCUGGGGCAUGUGCACACUCACCACCAGUUUUUUCAAACCCCCUGUGCACUUUUUGUAGGCUAGAGACUUAAACGUGAUGAAAUUUGUUUUUCGGAUCGUCUGCUGUCUGGUCUAUGUUUAUUCACACCCCGAAUGGAUGUAACAGAAUGUAUUUGAUAGGCUUUCAAAGGCCUUAUAAUGUAAUACAACUUUCAACAACGGAUCUCUUGGCUCUCGCAUCGAUGAAGAACGCAGC